rnacentral:misc_RNA from 1 species
AUUAUAUGCGCAAAAUGGGAGAGGCUGCAGGAAUUCCGAUAGAACCUGAAUCACAAACUCACCUUCUGGAUACAACGAUGAGUAUGGAGGGGGUUCUGUUGGCUGGUGUUCCUGGUGCUGGUGGUUUUGAUGCGGUCUUUGCUGUCACUUUGGGGGCUUCAAGCAAAAAUGUGACAAAAACUUGGAGUUCACUCAAUGUUCUUGCUAUGCUAGUUACGGAAGAUCCCCGCGGUGUAUCUUUGGAAGAGCAUGAUCCUCGAGCAAAGGAAAUUACUGCAGCUGUUUCUUCAAUCCAACUUCAAUAAUGAUCUGCAUGUAUAGGAUAUUAUAUCCAAUGGAUAUAUUAUGACUUCAACAUCAGAUUUUACAACACAAAAAGGAUAUAUUAGAGCUCUGAAUUGUAACGUCAGAAUCACUUUCAUCAAUA